CAGAGAAGGAGCCAGGCUGCCACCCCAGAGCUGGUCAGGGCAGAGCCCAGCAGGGCAUGACUGGCGAGAAGGGCGAGGGUAGGAACAGCAGGCCAGUGACCCAGACAUGCAUGGCUGUGACCUUCAGGAGCCCAUGGGCCCAAGAGAUACAUAGGAUCUGCACCCAGAAAACUGUAAGCCAGGCAGAACUGCACUCCCACCUCUGCUGUUGGGCUUCAUCCCGCAUCACCUGGGGCAAGGGAGGGCCCAGAGUUCCACAUUUUCCCACCAGCUGGCUCUGGGAGGAAGCUGCUGCUGCUGGGAGGGGACAUCCAUGAGGACAAGCAGGGCUUGUCCCUUCCCACCUGGACAGAACG
rnacentral:lncRNA from 1 species